rnacentral:rRNA from 1 species
GACGAACGCUAGCGGCGUGCUUAACACAUGCAAGUCGAACGGGCCUGUCUUCUUUUUUGGGGGUGGGUUGAGUGGCGAACGGGUGAGUAUCACGUGAGUAACCUGCCCUUCGGUCCUGGAUAACCGCUUGAAAGGGCGGCUAAUACGGGGUGGUCCGGUUGGUCCGCAUGGGCUGGUCGGGAUAGAUUCACUGUUUUUGGUGUUUCGGCGGGGGAUGGGCUCGCGGCCUAUCAGCUUGUUGGUGGGGUGAUGGCCUACCAAGGCGGUGACGGGUAGCCGGCCUGAGAGGGUGGGCGGCCACACUGGGACUGAGAUACGGCCCAGACUCCUGCGGGAGGCAGCAGUGGGGGGGAUUGCACAAUGGGCGGAAGCCUGAUGCAGCGACGUCGCGUGAGGGAUGGAGGCCUUCGGGUUGUGAACCUCUGUUUCCGGUGGUGAAGGCCCUGUCCGUGUGGUGGGGUUGACGGUAGCCGGGGAUGAAGCGCCGGCUAACUACGUG